GAUGAACGCUGGCGGCGUGCCUAAUACAUGCAAGUCGAGCGAACAGACGAGGAGCUUGCUCCUCUGACGUUAGCGGCGGACGGGUGAGUAACACGUGGAUAACCUACCUAUAAGACUGGGAUAACUUCGGGAAACCGGAGCUAAUACCGGAUAAUAUAUUGAACCGCAUGGUUCUAUAGUGAAAGACGGUUUUGCUGUCACUUAUAGAUGGAUCCGCGCCGCAUUAGCUAGUUGGUAAGGUUACGGGUUACCAAGGAGACGAUUCGUAGCCGACCUGAGAGAGGGAGCGGCCACACGGGGACUGAGACACGGCCCAGACGCCUACGGGAGGAAGCAGUAGGGAAUCGUACGCAAUGUACGAAGGUCUGACGGAGCAGCGCCGCGGGAACGAAGAAGGCCGUCGGGUCGUAAAGCUCUGUUGUUAGGGAAGAACAAUAAACGCAGGAACUGGCGUUACCGGGACGAUACCUAACGAGAAAGCCACGGCUAACUACGUG
rnacentral:rRNA from 1 species